GCUCCAAUAGCUUACCUCUAAAGCAUUGUCCUUGUAAGACAAAGCCGGAUUAUCAACCCUUAGAGCA
rnacentral:tRNA from 1 species